UAGUAAAGGAGGGGGUUAGCCGACAUUCUUGG
rnacentral:tRNA from 1 species